AAGGGAGGGUGGUGACCAUCUACAAACAAUCAUGCUAACGAAGCACGACUCAUCCUAAUCAAUCUGGAACGAAUAAUUGAAGGAAAAGAAGGAGCAAAAUUUGGCCUUGAAUUCAUAGUCAAAGAAAGUUUUGCCUUGGCAGUUUUACCAAGUUCUUUGUGUACUAAUAUAUCUCCUUGCGCGACUGCUAAUGAACCUUCUCGCCACAUGUGGGCAUGAAUGAAUGAUUGUGCGAGACUCUGUGCUUAGUAAUGUGCCACCCCUUGUCUAAUGUGUGGAAAGUCGAACCAAUGUUGGGUACUCACAGCGGCAAGACAUACUGUUCUCCUAUGUAGGCCUCCCCUGUGCGGAUAUAAAUUUCCAUUAUCAGCAUCGGUGAACCUGAACUUGAUUCUGUACCAACCCAGUUAAGAUACAGAGCAACCACAAACUAUUUUUUGCAAGCAUUUCAUCUUCUUUGUGUUUAGCUGAUUUUUUCCCAUAGUGAAUUAUAAAACCAUGCUCCCAGAAAUACAAGUUAUACAAAUCAUAUGGCUCUCCUAAUGAAUCAAAUGGAUGAAAAGCUCAAGAACAUGGUCACCCAACUUGGGGGGUGUACCCUGAUUGUCUCUUCUCAAGUGCACAACCCUCUCCGGACACCGGGUCCUAUCCGGUGGAUGACUCUCCCUACUCCAGUCCUGCACAAUCAAUGACGUGUAGAACAAUUCACUUCACAUCCCACAAUGUUUGUCUUGUAAUAUAAAUAUACUAACACAGGAAAACAAAAGCUAAGGCACUCUGCCUCAUUGAGUCCCUUGUGUUUGCUUGGUGAAUCCAGUUUAUUGUUAAAUGUUCACGUAUCUAAUCACCUAAUCCUAGCCGACGAUAAGCAUAUGCACAAAUUUGAACCAUUUACCUCUUCAUACACCCAGGGGCAUGAGGUCCAUCUUCCCCAUGGACAUACAGAACAAGAAGGGCCCAAUGCUUCAAUAUUAUUGAGCAAAACAAUAUAAGAAUAUGGCAUUAUCCUCACCAGUCUGACAAAAAUCUCAUUGCAUGGUUCUCUUGUGAUUUACACCCUAAUGAAUAGAAUAAAAUUACACACAUUCAUAUGAGAACCACAUUGUUCGUUAAAAGUUAAUAAGCCUAAAUAUAAAUAUCCUCGUUCACAUUCUCUGCUGGUUUGAAAGUAUGAUUGGCUGAAUACUCUUAGACCUUGGUUUGAAAUAUAUACAAAAGUAGUUUUAAGGAACCUUAUAAUGAUGUGUGAACAGAUCAUAUUGUGAAAAAUAACUAAAGUAGGCAGGCAUGAUACUCGUGUUGUUCGACUGAAUUAAUAUUGUACAAUCUAUUUUCCUAGGCGGGAUAGACAACAAAAUUUGUGAGAUAAGCAGCCUCCACAAAGAUCAGAAAGACAUAGAUAUCUGCAAAUAUAUUGGGUCGGGAUAAAGAUUAGGGGGCAGUAAAAUAUUUAAAUCCAGUUUCCUUGGUUGUAUAGCUUUUCUCUAAAUCAAAAGCUUUGCAAUGCUGCUAACGAGGUCUGGCACCAGCGAAGCAAGUCUUUCAAUAUAUCUUAAAAUGAAAUGAAUAAACAAAAAAAUCCAUUAAUGUGCAUUAUCCAAAUUUUUAGACCUUAGUUUUUGUGAAGCCGCUCCUAACAGGUUAGUUUUUACAUCCUUAUAUUCUUCUACCCUUUGUUCCCUCGAGCACCUACUCCCUUAUUGACUUCAUUGCAUCGAAGUUGUUAGUUUUUCGCUUCAGGAAAUAAUCUAGCACAACAACACAUAAGUAAUAUUCUAUUUUCCAUCUUCUACAUGCUUAUCUGUAAGCUCAACAAUUCAUAACACUUAUCCCUGUCCAGCAAGAGCAAUACAAAAUAAUAGGCAUUGUCAAAUAUAUACUCCCUCCGCCCGGAGUUACUUGUCGGUCAAAUUGAUGUAUCUAGCACAUCCGUUUGAGCGGCAAGUAAUUCCGUAUUAACGAAGUAUGUGUCAAUAUUUAAGAUAUUUGAUCAGGCCAAACUUUUCAAAUAUUAUUUUUGGGGAAUUUGGGCUAACCGGAACGAAUUGCUUUCACUAUAUGAUCAAGAGAAAUGAGAUAUUUGGGCGCUGGUAGCACCACCAGGGAAAGGUGUCCUUAAAUAGAAUCCCAUAUAUAAGCUAUAAGCAUAAAUCAAUCACGUAUGUGUAGCACAUAAUAUUUUUAGGAAAUCAGAAUCACCUCAAUAACCAAGAAGCUGAUGCUAGAUGCAUCUUCACUCCAGAUACCAAACAACCAUCUUACAGAACACAUUGAGCUCUUCCAUUCCGCCGCCGUUGUAGCCAUCCAUGGUGAAGCGCCGACUUGUUGGAUUUGAAGAUUAAUUCAUGCUAUUCUCCACCCCAUCCAUAUGAAUCGUAAGCCACUACCACCAUCAUUAUGAGCGUAGAACACAUCUGAAGUAUCAACCUCUCCUUCCCAGUUCCUCAUCGUGCUUAUCCUCGUGUGAAUCAUGAUGACAACCCAGUCAUCACAAUCUGAAAUAAUCGUAAAACAAAAUGAUAAAUGCUA
rnacentral:lncRNA from 1 species